rnacentral:rRNA from 1 species
UUAAAUUGAAGAGUUUGAUCAUGGCUCAGAUUGAACGCUGGCGGCAGGCCUAACACAUGCAAGUCGAACGGUAACAGGAAGAAGCUUGCUUCUUUGCUGACGAGUGGCGGACGGGUGAGUAAUGUCUGGGAAACUGCCUGAUGGAGGGGGAUAACUACUGGAAACGGUAGCUAAUACCGCAUAACGUCGCAAGACCAAAGAGGGGGACCUUCGGGCCUCUUGCCAUCGGAUGUGCCCAGAUGGGAUUAGCUAGUAGGUGGGGU